rnacentral:tRNA from 1 species
CCUGGUGGCUCAGACGGUAAAGCGUCUGCCUGCAAUGCGGGAGACCCGGGUUCGAUUCCUGGGUCCAGAA